rnacentral:lncRNA from 1 species
CAGAGAUUCAGAUCUGAUGGGUGGGAUGUAUUCCUGUGCAACAUCAGUCUGUUACCCACUGACGAAAGUACUCUCCUGGCUGAUGGAAGUCUUUAAAGAACAACUGAACAUGUUUUUUUUUCUGCACAAAUGCUUUGACCAUUAAGCACUUGGAUGAUCUUUGACAUUACAAAAUAAAUUGCUCCUGCAUGAAGGAAGAUGCAGAAAUAUCAGAGACCCAGGCAUCUUGGUCUGCAUUCAGGGGAAAGCUCUGGUGCUACACUGAAAAUUCAUAGACUACUUGUUGCAUGGCUGGCAAACUGGGAUACAUGGCCUCGAGCAGGGACUAAGCUCCCUGCAAGCUCCUGGCUGUUGAACGCACAGGAAAGACAUUUGGAAAUGUCUGUACUGACAGAAAAGCAACAGCUGAGGAGAGAUAAUGGAAGAACUCUCUAAGAUCUGUACC